CUGUCCUCUCACAUCUCUGCUGACAAAAUUUUGACAAUGCACUGGAUUCUUUCCUUAAUCAUUUUUAUAAGCUCUUGGCCAUUUUCAGGAGCCCAGACCAGUGUAACUCAGCCUCCGUCACAGUCAGUGUUUCUUGGUGAAAAUGUUAAACUUCCUUGUACUUUAGGUUCUGGUAUUGAUUACUAUGGUGUACACUGGUACCGACAGAAACCUGGAAAGAAUCCUCAGUUCCUGUUGUGGUACAACUCUGACUCAAAGAAACAACAUGGCUCUGGGGUCCCUAGUCGGUUCUCUGCAUCCAAAGACAAUACCAACAGUAUCUGUUACUUGUCCAUCUCAGGCAUUCAGGCAGAGGAUGAUGCUGAUUAUUACUGUGAUAUCUGGGAUGAUAAGAACAAUGUGAAUCAAUAA